rnacentral:sRNA from 1 species
AAUUUAAUAAAUUAAAAAAAAAUUAAUACGUCAAACUAUUUUAUUACGUGUUGAACGUUCUUCUUCUUUCUCUCUUUUUUUGCUGGUUCUGUUUAAAAGUUGCAGGGAGGAGAUGGUGCUACUCAGGGAGGCGAUGACGCGACUCAGGGAGGCGUCCUUUCUUUCGCUGGGCCUGGUUUUGAUUCAGGGCAUAAUCCUCUUCCUCUUCUAAGAUUGCGAUUAGGGUUUCAGUUGUUCUAAAGAUUUGGAGGUUUUUCUGUUCGAUCAUCUGAUUUCUUCUACAACUUUAGAUGUCCUGGUUCGGAGUGGCUGUGGGUGGUUGCUGCAAACGGAGCAGCCAUAGAGGUUGCGGUGAUGGAUGACCGUGGAGUUCUCAGGCUUGGGAUGGACUGGCGGAUUUCCUGGAACAUAGACGAGUAAAACCGAAUGAUGUUGAUCCAAUCCUUGCUGGCGUAGCGCUCGGGUGUCGUCGUGACGACGGAGGCGGAGCAAACCUCCGAGGAGAAGAAGCAGAAGUCGUCGAGGGUGCAGGACUCUCCAGCGAGGGUGAUGGCGUAAGCAAACCUUACGGUGACGAUGAGAAGGCCGAUGAUGAGUAACGGUGUCAAAACAUUUCUGAGUAAGGCUCGCUUCCCUGUGGCAGGCUCCAUGGAAACAGAUUGUACACUUUUCUUCAAGAA